UUUGGUUAAGUUAUUAAGGGCACACGGUGAAUGCCUUGGUACGGAUAGGCGAUGAAGGACGCGACUACCUGCGAUAAGCCACGGAUAGGUGGAAAUAACCUAAGACCCGUGGAUUUCCGAAUGGGGCAACCCAUCCCGAGUAAUGUUGGGAUAUCUGCAACUGAAUCCAUAGGUUGUACGAAGCUAACCCGGGGAACUGAAACAUCUAAGUACCCGGUGGAAGAAAAAACAAUAGUGAUUUCCUUAGUAGUGGCGAGCGAAAAGGAAAUAGCCUAAACUGUAUGACGUGUUAAAGGUGGUAACCCUUGCGUCAACAGAGUUGUGGGGCUUGUUCAGGCUGAAUUACCACUAAGCCGAAGAGUCAAAAAUUAUAUUGCUAGCUGAAAGUUCUGGAAAGUUCUACCAUAGAAGGUGAUAGUCCUGUAAGCGAAAGUAAUAUAACUCUUUGGAACAAGAUCCCAAGUACCGCGAAAUAAGUGGAAGUUUGUGGGAAUCUGCCAGAACCAUCUGGUAAGGCUAAAUACUCAUCCGUAACCGAUAGUGAACAAGUACCGUGAGGGAAAGGUGAAAAGAACUCCUUGUAGGAGAGUGAAAUAGUACCUGAACCCGUGUGCUUACAAACGGUUGGAGUCCCGAUUUAUCGGGAUGACAGCGUGCCUUUUGGAUAAUGAGCCAACGAGUUACUCGUAUGUUGCAAGGUUAAUUCCCUAAGGGAAGCAGCCACAGCGAAAGCGAGUCCUAAUCGGGCGAUUGAAGUAACAUGCGGUAGACGCGAAACCGGGUGAUCUACCCUUGUCCAGGAUGAAGUGAGGGUAAAACCUCAUGGAGGUCCGAACUAUUGCGGGUUGAAAACUGCUUGGAUGAGAUGAGGGUAGGGGUGAAAGGCCAAUCAAACUCGGAAAUAGCUCGUAUUCCUCGAAAUAGCUUUAGGGCUAGCCUCGAUUAAUAGUAUGCGGGAGGUAGAGCACUGAUUGGGCUAGGGCUGUCACAACGGUACCAAACCCAGACAAACUCCGAAUGCCCGUCAUAUGUUUUUCGGGAGUCAGGCUGUGAGGGAUAAGCUUCACGGCCAAGAGGGGAACAACCCAGACCACCAACUAAGGUCCCUAAAUAAUAGUUAACAGAGAAAGGAUGUUAAGUUGCUUAGACAACUAGGAUGUUGGCUUAGAAGCAGCCAUUCAUUUAAAGAGUGCGUAAUAGCUCACUAGUCAAGCGACUUAGCGUCGACAAUACACGGGACUUAAACUAUUUACCGAAGUUGUGGAUCCGGCAUUAGCCGGGUGGUAGAGGAACAUUCUAUAUGCAUCGAAGGUUAACUGCGAGGUUAACUGGAGCGUAUAGAAAAGCAAAUGUUGGCAUUAGUAACGAUAAUCUCGGUGCAAAACCGAGACGCCGAAAAUCUAAGGUUUCCUGAGCAAUGUUAGUCAUCUCAGGGUUAGUCGGAUCCUAAGCUGAGGCUGAAAGGCGUAGGUGAUGGCAAACAGGUUAAUAUUCCUGUACCUGGUGAAUUUCGUUUGACCGUAAGGAGAGACGCAGGAGUGAAGAUCAGCCAUCUGUUGGAUUAGAUGGUCUAAGCAUGUAGGCUGAAAGCGUUGGCAAAUCCGCGCUUUCUUAAGGCUGAGAUGCGAACGGGAGUCCUUUGGACGCAAACUGAUCGUAAUCAUACUGCCGAGAAAAUCUUCGUACGGGAGAAAUUUAUCAGUCCGUACCGCAAACCGACACAGGUAGAUGGGAUGAGUAUUCUAAGGCGCUCGAGUGAGCCGUGGUUAAGGAACUCGGCAAAUUAACCCCGUAACUUCGGGAGAAGGGGUGCCUCUUGUAAGUGAUGUCCUUCGCGGGCAUAGCUGAAAGAGGCCGCAGUGAAAUGGCCCAAGCGACUGUUUAACAAAAACACAUGUCUCUGCGAAGUCAAUCAAGACGAUGUAUAGGGACUGACACCUGCCCGGUGCUGGAAGGUUAAGAGGAGAGGUUAGCCGCAAGGCGAAGCCUUGAAUCGAAGCCCCAGUAAACGGCGGCCGUAACUAUAACGGUCCUAAGGUAGCGAAAUUCCUUGUCGGGUAAGUUCCGACCUGCACGAAUGGUGUAACCGGGCUCGGUGAAAUUGUGGUACCGGUGAAGACGCCGGUUACCCGCAUAUGGACGGAAAGACCCCGUGCACCUUUACUGCACCCUAAUAUUGGGUUCGGAUAGGGCAUGUGUAGCAUAGGUGGGAGGCUUUGAAGCCGGGACGCUAGUUUCGGUGGAGCCAAAGGUGAAAUACCACCCUUGUUUUAUUUGGAUUCUAACCUCGAUCCUUGAAUCAGGAUUAGGAACAGUGUUAGGCGGGUAGUUUGACUGGGGCGGUCGCCUCCAAAAAUGUAACGGAGGCUCUCAAUGGUUCCCUCAGCAUGGUUGGUAAUCAUGCGUCGAGUGUAAAGGCACAAGGGAGCUUGACUGCGAGACAUACAGGUCGAGCAGGUGCGAAAGCAGGACUUAGUGAUCCGACGGCUGCGAGUGGAAGUGCCGUCGCUCAAAGGAUAAAAGGUACGCCGGGGAUAACAGGCUGAUCUUACCCAAGAGUUCAUAUCGACGGUAAGGUUUGGCACCUCGAUG
rnacentral:rRNA from 1 species